GCCUUGCGAAGGUUUAUAAGAAAACGUUAGUUUUUUAUCAGAUUGUACCGGGGAAGGUUUUCCGGUUUAUCCCGGAGGGCUUGUAGCUCAGUUGGUUAGAGCGCGCGCUUGAUAAGCGUGAGGUCGGAGGUUCAAGUCCUCCCAGGCCCACCAUUUAUAGUUGCUUAUGAGAGUGUUCUGAGGUUUUAAAGCUCUUUGUUUGAGUUUAUGCCGUUUUUUUUU
rnacentral:misc_RNA from 1 species